UGACAUUGAAAUAUAAUUAAUUAUUUACUUAAAAAUAUAAUAUACCAUAAUUAAUCUUAUUUAAAAUAUAAUAUACUGUAAUUAACAUUUUAUAGUUUGACAAAAAGUAAGAAUCUACUAUCUAAGUAUGGACGGUGGGGGCUCCUGGGGAUUGGCGCAGGCUUUUCUAUAGCAGGUUUCGCAUUUUACAUAAAGCCAUGGUACAAACGACGGAAGGCAGCGAAAGCUGAGGAAUUUGCCAACUUUGUUUACGAACAACGCGAGAAAAGAGCCUUGCAACAGAGUGAAAAUUAAACUCAAGCUCAUCAAUGUUAUACAUACGCCGUCUCACCAAUUGUACAUAUGUUUCUUUAUUAAUAUCUUAUAAUUUAAAUAAAACAGAACAUGUGUAAUAUAGUAA